CUUUAUCGGAGAGUUUGAUCCUGGCUCAGGACGAACGCUGGCGGCGUGCCUAAUACAUGCAAGUCGAGCGGACAGAUGGGAGCUUGCUCCCUGAUGUUAGCGGCGGACGGGUGAGU
rnacentral:rRNA from 1 species